AAAGGGUGCUUGGAACCAAAAAUAGAUUUUUGUUUUGUAUGAUACCCAUCAUGACGAGACUGGCGAGGCCACCUCCAACGAGAUGAUGGACAUCUUCUACACCCAUGGUUCUCUUGUGGUCAUCUUGAGUGACCGAGGUCAUGAACGCUGGAACAAGGAAGGGUGGGAAACCAACCUGAAGGUAAUUCUCUUUGCACACAAUAACAGCAUCCAGGCCUCCACUGAGUACGGACGUGAGCCGCAGCUGUUGACUGAGAUCACUGAAACCCCAACUGAUGUGGUGGAAGUUGUCUAACCAGAUCAGAACACUUUCGAGGAUCACCUUCAGGCACGGACUGAGAAGGAUGUGGAGGUUUUUGACCAGGUAAAAAUGGUUGUCCGCUGUUAAUUUAUUUUUUGGCCCUCCAAGAGAUAUUUAAGAAAUGUAUUUGUGCCCUUCAGUUAUGCAUUAUCUCUCCUUCACCCAAGAGGAGUGUCUCUUGGGUUAUUAAUUAAAGUAUUGACGAUGUCGCGGCCAAUGUGUACAACAGUCCUGACGCGCCUUAACAGUACAUCUUGGGCUAGUUAUGAAUCUGCAAUUUAGAAUCAAAAGUGACACAGCAUGGUUACAAAGUCAUGUUACUAGUUAUGUUUAAAUGUUAGACUCAAUCAUUGCAAGAAAGCUAGCUA
rnacentral:lncRNA from 1 species